CUCCAAGCACAGACAUCUUUUAUGAUGAACUAGAGCCUCUGAAGAGGAGAAUCUGAACGUGACGUCAAUAGCUGAUAACUGACGCAGCCUUGCAAAGGAGUCUCAGGCUGGCUCCUUGCAGCCUGCAAGCCCUAAUGAUUCUAUUUUUUCCCCAGUCCCCCCUCGUAGUGAAUUACUAGAACGCAAACACACACACACCCCUUUUUUCACAUAUAUAUUUAUAGAUCCUUUAUUCUCCAAACAAAGGAUUUUUUUUUAAAGGGGGAAAAGGCAGUGGGUGGGGUGGGGAGAAUUUAUUUUAAAAACAACCCUUCUUGGUGCUGGGUGCAGUUCAGUAUAUGAAACCAUCUCUGUGUCUCAGCAAAGCAAGCAUCCCUGCCUGAAAUCCACAUUUGUACAUGAUGGCAAACUGGUGCAUGGUGGUUGUGUUUUUUCCAAAGCCCACUUUGUAAAGACUCCGGAGGAAGACAGACACAAUAAUGCUUGCAAGGCAACAGGCAGAGAGGCACAGAGACAGACUCAAUACAACUGUGGAUUAGGGGUUUGUGCAAUAGGACAGCAUGGAAGGCGGUGA
rnacentral:lncRNA from 1 species